CGUAGGGUGCAAGCGUUGUCCGGAAUUAUUGGGCGUAAAGAGCUCGUAGGCGGUUUGUCGCGUCGAAUGUGAAAACCCGGGGCUCAACCCCGGGCCUGCAUUCGAUACGGGCAGACUAGAGUUCGGUAGGGGAGUCUGGAAUUCCUGGUGUAGCGGUGAAAUGCGCAGAUAUCAGGAGGAACACCGGUGGCGAAGGCGGGACUCUGGGCCGAUACUGACGCUGAGGAGCGAAAGCGUGGGGGAGCAAACGGG
rnacentral:rRNA from 1 species